GAUGAAGAACGCAGCGAAAUGCGAUAAGUAGUGUGAAUUGCAGAAUUCAGUGAAUCAUCGAAUCUUUGAACGCACAUUGCGCCCUUUGGUAUUCCAAAGGGCAUGCCUGUUCGAGCGUCAUUUGUACCCUCAAGCUUUGCUUGGUGUUGGGCGUCUUGUCUCUAGCUUUGCUGGAGACUCGCCUUAAAGUAAUUGGCAGCCGGCCUACUGGUUUCGGAGCGCAGCACAAGUCGCACUCUCUAUCAGCAAAGGUCUAGCAUCCAUUAAGCCUUUUUUCAACUUUUGACCUCGGAUCAGGUAGGGAUACCCGCUGAACUUAAGCAUAUCAAUAAACGGAGGA
rnacentral:misc_RNA from 1 species